GACGAACGCUGGCGGCGUGCCUAAUACAUGCAAGUCGAACGGUCUUUUCUAUGGAAGCUUGCUUCCACUGAGAAGAUAGUGGCGAACGGGUGAGUAACACGUGGGUAACCUGCCCAUAAGAGGGGGAUAACAUCCGGAAACGGGUGCUAAUACCGCAUAGUUUUCUUGAUCGCAUGAUCGGGAAAGGAAAGACGGCCUUUGUGCUGUCGCUUAUGGAUGGACCCGCGGCGUAUUAGUUAGUUGGUGAGGUAACGGCUCACCAAGACAAUGAUACGUAGCCGACCGGGGAGGGUGAUCGGUAACAUUGGGACUGAGACACGGCCCAAACUCCUACGGGAGGCAUCAGUAGGGAAUCUUCCGCAAUGGACGAAAGUCUGACGGAGCAACGCCGCGUGAGUGAAGAAGGUUUUCGGAUCGUAAAACUCUGUUGUCAGAGAAGAACAAGUUGGAGAGUAACUGCUCCAGCCUUGACGGUAUCUGACCAGAAAGCCACGGCUAACUACGUGCCAGCCGCCGCCGUAGUAA
rnacentral:rRNA from 1 species